ACCUCGCGAUGUUUUGAGCCGAACCACCCGCUAGUAGGGAUCUUGUCCAGUAGACAGCAAUCAGGAGAGUAGGCAUGCUGAAGCGGUUCAUGCAUGCAGGAAUCUGUCUGUUGCUACUCUACCUUUAUUAAACAACGUUGAAUUAUGAACGACUGCGCCUUUAAAUAAUAAAGGAAAUUAUUGGUAAGCAUCACUGAAUCCAGGGACAGAGAGAGAUAACAUAACAGAAAGCAACCGGCGGGUCUGGCUCUCUGUGUCAGUGUGUGUGGGAAUGGCAGCUCCCCGACCGAUUAAAGGCAUCCUGAAAAACAAGAACAGCGGCAGAAACCUGAAAUCCGACGAGGCGCCGGCGGAGGUGACCGAGCAUGGCCCGGAACUGUCGGAGGAUGACCACCAAAAGAAAUCUGCCAAAUGGGAUGAGAUGAACAUCCUGGCGACAUAUCAUCCUCCUGACAAGGACUACGGCCUGAUGAAGAUAGAUGAACCCAGCACACCUUACAACAGGAUGCUUGGGGUCGACGACGAUGAUGAGGGGGCACUCAGUGACUCAGAAGGCCACAGUGGUGGGCUCGCGCCUGAUGACCUGGCCUCAAAGUUGGAGGCAGCUGAGGGGGCGGAGCCACGCUUCAUGAAGGAAGCGGAAGAGAGCAGCGAGGAGGAGGAAGAGGAGCUGACUCCACAAGUGCAAGCCAAAAAGAAGCAUUUUCAGAUGAUGAGGAAGAUGCACUAUGAUGAGGCCAUGAACAUAAGGCUGGCUCGCGAGCUCAUUGCUAAAGAGCUGGAAGAUGAUGAUGACGAUGAAGAGAUGAGGGAUGACACAGAGGAUCCAAGGGACAAUGUGGAGGAGACGGAGGAGAUCACUGUAGACCCGCCACAAGAAGGGGUGGCGAACCGCUUGCUGCGGCUCUUUGACGGAUCCUGUGUGGCUCUUUGAUUCUGAAAUUUCCCACACCCCUUGAAGGCAGAAGCAGCGUAACGUGCAGCGCAGCUGACUCCUUAGAGUCGUAGAUGACUUCUCCCACCGGCAGCGCCGUGGCAGACCCGGAUCCAGCGAGAUCCGCCCAUCGGAUCUGUGACUGAAAGCAGAGACGUUAAGGCAAACACCGCUUCACCACCUGUCCAACAUCUCCCAGCAGCCAAUAAGAUUACCGGUCACCUCUUUGUCUCCACUAUUCCCAUAAAACUGUGCAAUAUAACCUCUAUUUUUAAUUUUAAAAAUGGUUUUCAGCUCUAGGUAUAUGUCCGAAACAUACACACACGGAGGCUGUUGCCCCUCCCCCCUCUCCUGUUGCCAAGAAUGUCCUCCUCUCACCUCUCGGACCGACGUCGCACUGAAGAAUCUAUGACUCAGACACUGAAAGGAGGAUCAAGGUCUUUUUAGAAAUAAGAAAAAAAAAGAAUGACAAGAAAAACCUCACAACGUUGAGCUUAUUCUGGCUGAAACAGCUUGUCGGUUGUGGAAGAAGCCAGGGGGAAACCCCACGGCCUCUCUGAAGGGUUUUAUGUCACAUGAUGGAGUUUCCAGUGGCUGCAACUCGGAUUUCUUUCCCGUUUUCCUUUUUGAUCAAUCACACCGCUGCAUUUUAUGUCUACCGGUUUUCCAUCUCUAGGAAUAGUUAAACUGCUAAAAUAAUAAGGCUGCUCCACAUACAAUAUUGACAUGACAUGAUUACUGGGGUUUGGGGAAUAUAUUAGUCCAAAUUGUGUUAUUAAAAUAGCAGGUAUUUUUCAAGGAA